rnacentral:rRNA from 1 species
CCUACGGGUGGCAGCAGUGGGGAAUAUUGGACAAUGGGCGAAAGCCUGAUCCAGCCAUGCCGCGUGUGUGAAGAAGGCCUUCGGGUUGUAAAGCACUUUCAGUGGGGAAGAAAGCCUUGGGGCUAAUACCCUCGAGGAAGGACAUCACCCACAGAAGAAGCACCGGCUAACUCCGUGCCAGCAGCCGCGGUAAUACGGAGGGUGCGAGCGUUAAUCGGAAUUACUGGGCGUAAAGCGCGCGUAGGCGGUCUGAUAAGCCGGUUGUGAAAGCCCCGGGCUCAACCUGGGAACGGCAUCCGGAACUGUCAGGCUAGAGUGCAGGAGAGGAAGGUAGAAUUCCCGGUGUAGCGGUGAAAUGCGUAGAGAUCGGGAGGAAUACCAGUGGAGAAGGCGGCCUUCUGGACUGACACUGACGCUGAGGUGCGAAAGCGUGGGUAGCAAACAGGAUUAGAUACCCGAGUAGUC